AGCGAUAUCGUAUAAAUUGGUUAAUACAGUGCUCUGCAAAAGCAUUAAUAUCAGUUCAAGCCUGGUUAUCGCGU
rnacentral:tRNA from 1 species